CUCCUGGUCAGCCGGUCCCCUGAGAAUCUGAAGAGAAGUGAGACAGCUCCUGAGGUUACAGCCAGCCAGCAGAGGCCAAGGCUCCAACACUGAUGGGCCUGAAUCCUGCCCCUUUGCUGGCCUGAGAAAAUCUCAGAUCAAGAGCUCAUAUCCCUGAUAUGGAACAGAAGGGCAUGAGGGGACCCACAUCUGGCCACACCUGCUCAAGGCUUCACAGCAAGGACAGUAAGAGGUGGCCAUAUUCAGAGCCUGGGUCCACUUCCCUCUGCCGAUCUCAAGCCGCCCUCAGACCGAGACCCUCGCUUCUCUGACCCCUAGGCGUCGCAGCCGGCCACCAAGCCUGGGGCUUCCUCGGGUUGACUGCAGGUGUUGUACCGGAUUCUGCUAUGAGUGGGGGUGGAAAUGGGGGUGGGGGUCGUGAGGG
rnacentral:lncRNA from 1 species